rnacentral:rRNA from 1 species
ACGAACGCUGGCGGCGUGCUUAACACAUGCAAGUCGCACGGAAAGGCCCUGCUUUUGUGGGGUGCUCGAGUGGCGAACGGGUGAGUAACACGUGAGUAACCUGCCCUUGACUUUGGGAUAACUUCAGGAAACUGGGGCUAAUACCGGAUAGGAGCUCCUGCUGCAUGGUGGGGGUUGGAAAGUUUCGGCGGUUGGGGAUGGACUCGCGGCUUAUCAGCUUGUUGGUGGGGUAGUGGCUUACCAAGGCUUUGACGGGUAGCCGGCCUGAGAGGGUGACCGGCCACAUUGGGACUGAGAUACGGCCCAGACUCCUACGGGAGGCAGCAGUGGGGAAUAUUGCACAAUGGGCGGAAGCCUGAUGCAGCAACGCCGCGUGCGGGAUGACGGCCUCCGGGUUGUAAACCGCUUUCGCCUGUGACGAAGCGUGAGUGACGGUAAUGGGUAAAGAAGCACCGGCUAACUACGUG